CAGUGAGCCUUUUACAUCAUGGGUCCAAAUCUGAAGUAAAGAUCUAUGACAGAAGUAACCUGCAGCCCAUCAUCUGUACAGACCAGAAGAAAAAUGUGUUUUAAAGGCACUUCAGAGAUGCGUUCAACUUCACUAGUUUAUGUGCAAUACAGAAUAUCUUCAGAAUCACUCAAGAACAAGAAGUUAUGUUUAGACUGGCCAAGGAGAAGAUGAGUCUUCAAAAAGUACAAAAGCUCUGGGGUAGGAACAAGAUGACCAAGACUACCUGACACAAAAAUGAAUUUAAGGUAAUGAGCAGAAAAUUACUUAAAAACCAGUAUGAUUAGUGGCUUUCAGAGAGCAGAUCUGUGCGAAUGAGAGGAGAAGCUGGUUUCUGGAUUUUAUGAUAGUCCCAGAGGGAAACAGACACUGAGAUGGGACCAAGAGCUAUAGAAUAUGCAAAUGAGAAAACACUGGAAAUACAGGGCAGAAGGAAUUGAUCUUGUGAAGAAAAGCUUGGAGCUGCACUUGGAAUAAAUUUAAAAUUCUUGAAGUCUUACCAUUUCUCUGCCAUCUGCAAACACAGAUAGAAUUCCUCUGCAAAGGGUCUCAUUGCCCCACAGUGAAGGACUACUUGCCAUGACCAGCAGCUACUUCACUACCUUGAGCUGCUGAGUUCUGUGCAGUGACUCUAGAUUUUGUCAACCCACAGGUGUGCCAUAAAGACACCAAGCUGAUGUCAUGUUAGAGGAUAUUCUAUGCCAAUUUCUGAUUCUAAAACAAAGACAU
rnacentral:lncRNA from 7 species